rnacentral:rRNA from 1 species
GAUGAACGCUGGCGGCGUGCCUAAUACAUGCAAGUCGAGCGAACAGACGAGGAGCUUGCUCCUCUGACGUUAGCGGCGGACGGGUGAGUAACACGUGGAUAACCUACCUAUAAGACUGGGAUAACUUCGGGAAACCGGAGCUAAUACCGGAUAAUAUAUUGAACCGCAUGGUUCAAUAGUGAAAGACGGUUUUGCUGUCACUUAUAGAUGGAUCCGCGCCGCAUUAGCUAGUUGGUAAGGUAACGGCUUACUAAGGCGACGAUGCGUAGCCGACCUGAGAGGGUGAUCGGCCACACUGGAACUGAGACACGGUCCAGACUCCUACGGGAGGCAGCAGUAGGGAAUCUUCCGCAAUGGGCGAAAGCCUGACGGAGCAACGCCGCGUGAGUGAUGAGGGUCUUCGGAUCGUAAAACUCUGUUAUUAGGGAAGAACAAAUGUGUAAGUAACUAUGCACGUCUUGACGGUACCUAAUCAGAAAGCCACGGCUAACUACGUG